ACGACUCUCGGCAACGGAUAUCUCGGCUCUCGCAUCGAUGAAGAACGCAGCGAAAUGCGAUACUUGGUGUGAAUUGCAGAAUCCCGUGAACCAUCGAGUCUUUGAACGCAAGUUGCGCCCGAAGCCAUCCGGCCGAGGGCACGUCUGCCUGGGCGUCACG
rnacentral:rRNA from 2 species